UGCGUAGAUAUCGGGAGGAACACCCGUGGCGAAGCCGGCCUUCUGGACUGUUCCUGACGCUGAAGGCGAAAGCUAGGGGAGCGAACGGGAUUAGAUACCCCGGUAGUCCUAGCUGUAAACGAUGGAUGCUGGGUAUGGGGGGUGUAAAUUCCCUCUGUGCCGAAGCAAACGCGUUAAGCAUCCCGCCUGGGGACUACGGCCGCAAGGCUAAAACUCAAACGAAUUGACGGGGGCCCGCACAAGCAGCGGAGCGUGUGGUUUAAUUCGAUGCUACACGAAGAACCUUACCUGGGUUUGACAUGCACGUGGUAGGGAACCGAAAGGGGACCGACCUUCGGGAGCGUGCACAGGUGCUGCAUGGCUGUCGUCAGCUCGUGCCGUGAGGUGUCGGGUUAAGUCCCGUAACGAGCGCAACCCUUGCCCUUAGUUACAAGUGUCUAAGGGGACUGCCCGGGACAACUGGGAGGAAGGUGGGGAUGACGUCAAGUCAGCAUGGCCUUUAUAUCCAGGGCUACACACACGCUACAAUGGCCGGUACAAUAGGUUGCGAAGUCGUGAGGCGGAGCCAAUCCUCAAAGCCGGUCUCAGUUCGAAUUGCAGUCUGCAACUCGACUGCAUGAAGCUGGAGUUGCUAGUAAUCGCAGGUCAGCUAUACUCCGGUGAUACGUUCCCGGGCAUUGACACACCGCCCGUCACGUCAUGGAAGCUGGCAACGCCUGAAGCCGGUGAGCUAACCCGAAAGGGAGC
rnacentral:rRNA from 1 species